rnacentral:siRNA from 1 species
ACGUAUAAUAUCAUUCCGGAU